UACCAGCACCCCGAGUGGUCGGGACGAUUAUUGGGCCUAAAGCAUCCGUAGCCGGUUCUACAAGUCUUCCGUUAAAUCCACCUGCUUAACAGAUGGGCUGCGGAGGAUACUAUAGAGCUAGGAGGCGGGAGAGGCAAGCGGUACUUAGUGGGUAGGGGUAAAAUCCGUUGAUCCAUUGAAGACCACCAGUGGCGAAGGCGGCUUGCCGGAACGCGCUCGACGGUGAGGGAUGAAAGCUGGGGGAGCAAACCGG
rnacentral:rRNA from 1 species